rnacentral:rRNA from 1 species
AGCAGCCGCGGUAAUUCCAGCUCCAAUAGCGUAUAUUAAAGUUGUUGCAGUUAAAAAGCUCGUAGUUGAAUUUCGGGGUCAGUAGAUUGGUCGUGCCACUGGUAUAUACUGGUCUUACUGGCUCCUCCUUCCUGAUGAACCGUAAUGCCAUUAAUUUGGUGUUGCGGGGAGACUGGACUGUUACUUUGAAAAAAUUAGAGUGUUUAAAGCAGGCUAACGCUUGAAUACAUUAGCAUGGAAUAAUGAAAUAGGACGUUCGAUCUUAUUUUGUUGGUUUCUAGGAUUGACGUAAUGAUUAAUAGGGAUAGUUGGGGGCAUUAGUAUUCAAUUGUCAGAGGUGAAAUUCUUGGAUUUAUUGAAGACUAACUACUGCGAAAGCAUUUGCCAAGGAUGUUUUCAUUAAUCAAGAACGAAAGUUAGGGGAUCGAAGACGAUCAGAUACCGUCGUAG